UGCAGCUAGGGGUGCUCGACAAUAACGGGCUGAGACUCACCCUUUGUACCUGAUCCGGUUAAUUCUGGCGUAGGAAAGC
rnacentral:ncRNA from 1 species